rnacentral:misc_RNA from 1 species
AAAGUCGUAACAAGGUUUCCGUAGGUGAACCUGCGGAAGGAUCAUUAACACGUAUCCCUAUACAAACAACCGAGAACAUGUUUCCCUACCUAUUGUUGGUGAGUCGUCUUGAGCAGUGUAUGAUGAAAGCUUCAUUGCUUACUGCUCUUGACUAGAAGCCCUGAGCUUCAGAUUCCUAUCAAUAGGCUAUUCCAACCAUCAUCAUGGUUACUCAUUCACUAUUAACCCCUUUAACUUUAAUUGAACUAAUUGAUAUUUCAACAGCUAGCGAUAGCUGGUGGAAUCUUGAUAUACGAAACUGAGAACAACUCUUAGCAAUGGAUAUCUUGGUUCCC